rnacentral:lncRNA from 10 species
UAGGAGGCUAACAGAGCUAAGGUGAAGGAUCUAAAACCUGAAAAGAGGCCAAAUGAUUCCUCAAAACCACGCAAGUACGAAGUAGCAGAGCGGAUCUCAAAUCCAGCACUCCACGAAGAGGCCUUGGCUAGCUGCACAUCUCCCUACAUGGGUAUGUCAAGAUCACCAACUCUGCUUACAGCAGUUCCCAGAUGAAACUCUUCAUAAUUUCAGAUGCACCUUUAAUACCAGUGAAGGUUUACCUCCAGGCCCACAGUCUGGGUCUUUCCAGAGACACCCACAGCAAGAUGUCACCUGCUUUUUGAUGUCAUCAGAGUCAAACACAAACACCCACCACUGUGGUUUCCAUGUCUAAUUCGCAAAUGGCUUUAACUUUGAGCUGGCCCACAAUGUUGUAUUAACCCCACUCAGGUAUCAUCUUUCUCCGUGGGUGAACCCAUAGUGACCUUUCCUUCUGAUUCUUCUUUUACUCUAAGGGCAUGAUUUUGGCAAACU